UACGAGGUGGGAGAGGUCGUUUUUUCUUGUUCCGUACGCCACGGUCGAGGGAGGAACCGGGCCCGGAGGGGGUUGGGGAGGUGGCCCAAACCUGCCAGCCAACCUAGCCCCCGGGUCCAGCUUCCGCCUGAGACCCAUCUUGGUCCUCAGCGUUCUACACGUUUCUGCUUCCCCCUGCCCCCAGUUCCGUCGGGAAGUCGGAAUUUCCAGAUUUGCUUCUCUGUAUAGGACUGUCGGUGAUCCGGCUGGAGACCUUGACGUAAAUCAGCAUCAGUCUAAGGGCCUUGGUGCCCUGACUCGGAUCCCUGGAUUCAAGGAACCUGAAGACCCACAUCCCAGCUAUUCCCGUGAACCUGCCCAAGACCUCAAAUACCUCUUCAAGAAGGUGAUCCCCAAGCCAAGUGACAACUGCAUUGAUAAGUAAACUCUCACUUUGACAUUAAUUUCUUUGGAGCUCUGCGGGUAACAAAAGCAAGAUAAGUGACAGUAGGAUGGGAGCCCGUAUUUGCUACUGGGCUCUUGUUUACUGCAGGAUUUCUUUUAAUGCUACUUGCAUUCCGGUUGCUUCCUAAAUUAGAACUCUGAUUGAUGUCAUUAUGAAGUUAUCAGUCACCCUGACUUUUCUCCCCCUCCUUUGGGGAUUCAUGUCAGGGGAGUGAGGAUCCAACGCAGUAGUAAAUCUCUCAAGAAUUAUUGCUCAGGGAGAGAAUCUGUCUCAGUGCUGGGUCUACCAUCCCAAUCCUCAAAGCGACGCCUAUAAGCUUAAAGGACUAAGCUACACACCCAGUAAUGAUGACCUUGAAGUUACUCUGGCUGAAGGUCCUGCGACCCUGCUCCUCUCAGAGUCCACAUCCAGCCCUUGGCACAGCUUCCAUGCCUGGACCUGACCCCUCUCGUUAGUGCAUCCAGCACACAAAGCUCCCCCCAUCAAAGCAUAUUUGUCUUCUACUCUGUCAUAAAGGUAACUCAUCUUGCUGCCCACGCCAGAAGCCUGGAACUAAAUUCUGCAAUGCACCAGUGGUUGACAUCACUGCCAUUACCCCUAAUUUUAAUUGCGAAGACCAAACAGGCAACGCCACCCAUUGGUGCCUCCAAGAUCAGCUGGCCGGUGGGAUGUGUGUCUCCUAGACAGGCCUGGCGCCAAGCGUCUAACACACAUCUUCCCCACGUGUGGUACAUGUUUUUUGCCUCUCCCAAAGCCUUCGUAAAGACUCGUACACCCUUAUUCAGUGGUGGGAUCCUUUCCUCCAACUGUACCGGAACCCCCGCCUUGGGGGACUCUGCUGAAGUGGUUUAAUUCCACAACAGUACGUCAGGCAUGUGCCCCUCCCAGACAUCUAUUCCUUUGUGGUCCAGGUGCAAACUGACUGUCCUCUUCAAAAAACCCCAAUUCCUCUUUCCCUUUCCUGGGAUUAGCUGUGGCCUUUCCUUGUAUAGACAGUGCUCUGUUUACAGGACAAUGUAACGCUAGGCCAACUGAGUAACCAAACAAACCCAGGUAUUGCCAUCUAUAACAUCACCCACGCCUGGGGCAAAAGGGCAAUUGGCCUCCUUUCGCCAGGAAAUGGAGCUGCCGUUGGUUUGGUGGCCCCUUGGGGAGGCUUUGUUUAUCAUGAAAUGGUGCUCUGCAAUCUUUCAGUUGCCCUGUCCUGAGUGCAUCCACAGGGAAUGCACUCACCAGACUCUCAUUGUCUCUUAAGUUCCUUGGCUAGUAAAGUGAUGGCUAAUAGACUGGCCUUGGACUUCCUCCAAGCCGAACAAGGAGGAGUAUGUGCAGUUAUCAAUAAGACAUGUUGCACCUACAUCAAUAAUACUGGGCUAGUAGAAGAGGACGUCAAGAAAAUGUGACCAAGCCAAAUGGCUUCAUUCCUUCGGACAGGGUAACCCAAGCGCUGACUAGACUGCAGUUAAGGAGGUGUUACCAAGUGUGACCUGGUUCUUACCCCCUGCUUGGGCCUCUAGUUGCCAUAAUGCUUUUACUGAACUUUGGCCCCUGUCUUUUUUUUUUUUUUUAAUUUAUUUAUUUUUGGCUGCGUUGGGUCUUUGUUGCUGCGUGUGGGCUUUCUCUAGUUGUGGCGAGCGGGGGCUACUCUUUGUUGCGGUAUGUGGGCUUCUCAUUGCGGUGGCGUCUCUUGCUGCGGAGCAUGGGCUCUAGGCGUGCGGGCUUCAGUAGUUGUGGCACACGGGCUCAGUAGUUGUGGCUCGCGGGCUCUAGAGCGCAAGCUCAGUAGUUGUGGCACACGGGCUUAGUUGCUCCACAGCAUGUGGGAUCUUCCCGGACCAGGGCUCGAACCUGUGUCCCCUGCGCCGGCAGGCGGAUUCCCAACCACUGUGCCACCAGGGAAGCCCUUGGCCCCUGCCUUUUUAAUCUGCUUGUUAAGUUUGCUUCCAGGUUGCAACAGUUCCACGUCAAGAUGAUAGUGAUGCAGGGAUUCCAGCCAUUCCCUGACAUAGAUCCUACCGGAAUAACAGCGGAAGUCACCCUGGGGCCCCUGGACAAGACAGGGCGAGAGUUCCGUGGCCCCAAUUAGGUAGGGUCCACGAGCCCAGUGCCAGCCUGAAGAAGCUGCAGAAGACAGACCUCCGCCCCUUAUCCUCCCAAUAAAGAGUUCUUGGGGUCCACGUCACUUGGGAGAUUUGAGGUAAGAGAUAGGUGGCUGAGCAGCUGCAACCAUUCUCCUGCUGACACUUCAAGAUAAGGUACUAGCAGGAGCUUCAGGCCCUGACUGGGUGGAAGACAAAGCGACUACAGUUUCCUCAUUCUUGUGGUCAAGGGGAUUUUCCAGCCCAACACAUCUGUUUCACAGUCUUGGUCUCUGCUGGAUUCUUGGUCUCGUUGGAUUCUUUCCUCAAAGGAGACACCUGUAAGUCUCUGAAGUGCUUAGCAAUAAAGCAAAGGUGGUGAGUUGA